GAUCAUAUGGCCACAUUGGGAAUGAGAUACCCCAAGUAGUUUAUCUACCAGCAGUCGAGAAUAUUGGUCAAUGCUCGCAAGAGUGAACCAGCUAACUGGAAUCCUGAUAAUGUAGGGAUAAGGUAUAGGUAAAUUAUGAUUACUGUACUAUAAGUGUUGUCCAAAACUGGUGCCAGAAGACUCGGUAAGGCCAGAGACGCAAGCGUUAGUCAUCUUGAUCAGGCGUAAAGGGUCUGUAGGCUGCUUUAAAAUAUAAAUAAAUCUUAAUAGUCUUUUUUAUAUAAAUAAUUAAAGCUAGAAUCAAAUAGAGGUCACGAAUUUAAAAAUAUGAGACAAUUCCUAAUGGAGGGUCGACAUCUGUAGAUAUUAGGAGGAGUACUAAUUAGCGGAAGCUCUUUUCCAUCUAAUGAUUGACGCUGAGAGACGAAGGGGAGGACAGAAAAUAGGAUUAGAUACCCUAGUAUCCCUCCCUGUAAACGAUGAAUGGUAGUUGCUAGAUAUAAUUUAGUGGCGAUGCUAACGCGUUAACCAUUCCGCCUUGUAAGUACGGUCGCAAGGCUGAAAACAAAAAAAUUAGUCGGUUUCGGAGCAA
rnacentral:rRNA from 1 species